rnacentral:pre_miRNA from 1 species
CCCUGCAAAUAUAAAAAAUUUGGUUUUGGUCCUUAGUAUUUUGUUUUAGUCCUUGUAAAAUUUAAAUCAUAUUGGAUUUGGUCUUUGUAAUAUGUAGAAUAUUUGAUUUUAGUCCCUCAAAACGAGGACUAAAAUGAAUAUUAUAGGGACCAAUUUCAAUAUGAAAUGAUUUUACAAGGAUUAAAACAAAAUACCAAGGACCAAAACCAAAUAUUCUAUAUUUGCAUGGA